UUCACAUACAUUGCACCAGAAUGCCAGAACACAUCAUAAAUAUUGAAAAUAGUGAUUUGGGGUUUUGUGCCAUAUUCAUAAUACUUCUGGGAAGGCACAGAAAAAUCUGUAGAUCAAACACAAGUUGAAUGAAGUCCUGUUACACUCCCUGAAAAUGAGAAUCACAAGGAAAAAGAACUACUUUGGUUUGCUGAAAUAAACUUUGGAUUAAAUUUAAGAAAAUAUGUGAUAUAACACAAUACAUUUUCCCUAGACUCUCUUCUCAGAACAAUAAUGUUAAUUAAUUCAAGCAGAAAAGGAAAUUAACUAAAAGGAGAGGGGAAAGGAACCAGAAAGGAAUCAGCAGCACUGCAUUAGACCUGGACCACAUACUUCAUGGAGAAAGGGGGGAUUGGCCACCAGCACACUGCACUCCAGGUCACUCACUCUCUCACUUAGUGACAUUAAUUUUACACAAACUUUAUCAUGAACAGGAGCUCUGUAUUUUAAGAGCUGCAUAGUGUUGUAUAACUAAUUUGAGAAAUGAAUGUAAAUUUAGCUCAAACAUUUUGAAGUGUCUGUAUUUCACUGUGUAAUUUCUUUUUUUCUUCUGAAAUAUAUCAUCCGUCAGCAGUGCGUAAGGACAGUCUAAAUCAACUUCCAUUCGCCUGCCGUUCAGCGCUUUGGGACUCUUCGUCAGCAAGCUCCUUCUGACAGCUAUUUAUAGCUCAACAUUUCAGCAAGAUAAUUGCAGUGUACAUAGAGGCAGGGAGGCAGCACCAGUUAGAACUCUCCUACCCUUUCCAGCAACAUCUUGGCCUAUAUCCCGCCUACAUACACUGACUUGCAUCCCUACAUGCUUCAGUGAUACGUGACUGGCA
rnacentral:lncRNA from 1 species